GUUAUUUUACAUGGAUAACUGUGGUAAUUCUAGAGCUAAUACAUGCAGCAAGCCUUGACCCUUACGGGCAAGGCGCAGUUAUUAGAUCAAAAACCAAUCGGUUGCAUCUUCGGAUGUAGCCGUUAGUUUGGUGACUCUGAGUAACCACAGCGAACCGUAUGGCCUCGUGCUCGACGGUCUGUCAGUCAAGCAACUGCCUUAUCAGCUUGUUGUUAGGUUAUAUGCCUAACAAGGCUUCAACGGGUAACGAACGAUCGGGGUCGGAUAUCGGAGAGGGAGCUUGAGAAACGGCUACCACUUCCAAGGAAGGCAGCAGGCGCGCAAAUUACCCACUCUCGGCAUGAGGAGGUAGCGAUAAAAUGUAUCGAUGCGGGGCCAUUAGUGCCUUCGUAAUCGGAAUGAGUACACUUUAAAUCCUAUAACAAGGACCUAUUGGAGGGCAAGUCUGGUGCCAGCAGCCGCGGUAAUUCCAGCUCCAAUAGCGUAUAUUAAUGCUGCUGCGGUUAAAAAGCUCGUAGUCGGAUCUGGGUUACCGGCGGGUACCGCAUGUUGCUUCAUGCAGCAUGUUGUGUACUAUACGUGUCGCUUCGGCGGCACUGCCAGUGUAAUGCUGCCUCACGGGUACGUUACGCUGGUCGCCGGAACCACGGGCCGGGUUGAGCAGCAUGCUCUUCAUUGGGUGUGUUGUUUACUCGGUGCGUUUACUUUGAAAAAAUUGGAGUGCUCAAAGCAAGCGUACAGUCGCUAUGCGGCUUGAACAGUGGUGCAUGGAAUAAUGAAAUAGGGCCUCGGUUCUAUUUUGUUGGUUUCAAGAUAUCGAGGUAAUGAUUAAGAGGGACAGACGGGGACGUUUGUAUUGCGACGUUAGAGGUGAAAUUCUUGGAUCGUCGCAAGACACACUAAUGCGAAAGCAUUCGUCUAGAAUGUUUUCAUUGAUCAAGAACGAAAGUUAGAGGUUCGAAGGCGAUCAGAUACCGCCCUAGUUCUAACCAUAAACGAUGCCAACCAGCGAUCCGUCGGUGUUCUCAAUUAUGAAUGACCCGACGGGCAGCUUCCGGGAAACCAAAGUUUUCGGGUUCCGGGGGAAGUAUGGUUGCAAAGCUGA
rnacentral:rRNA from 1 species